rnacentral:rRNA from 1 species
GACGUAGGAGACAAGCGUUAUCCGGAGUUACAGGGCGUAAAGGGCGUGUAGGUGGCUGAGUAAGUCUGUUGUGAAAGCUCCUGGCUUAACCGGGUGAGGCCAAUGGAGACUGCUUAGCUGGAGGCCGGUAGAGGUGGGUGGAAUUCCGGGUGUAGUGGUGAAAUGCGUAGAGAUCCGGAGGAACACCAGAGGCGAAGGCGGCCCACUAGGCCAGACCUGACACUGAAACGCGACAGCAUGGGGAGCAAACGGG